rnacentral:sRNA from 1 species
AAAAUUUGUUAUUGUGAAACAGGCAAUCGAUAGGCUUCCAUUGGUUCCUGGUGUUCUUGAACUUGUAGGCAUCGGUUACACAGGAGUG